rnacentral:rRNA from 1 species
UGUGAUCUAUUCAUUUAGGUCCACUGGGUAAUGACUCGUUUACUUUGAGAAAAUUAGAGUGUUCAAAGCAGGCAUUUGCCUUGAAUAUGUUAGCAUGGAAUAAUAGCAUAGGACUUCGGUUCUAUUUGUUGGUUGUUCGAGAACUGGAGUAAUGAUUGAUAGGGACGGUUGGGGGCACCCGUAUUCUCAAGCGAGAGGUGAAAUCCUUGGACCUUGGGAAGACGAACAGCUGCGAAAGCGUUUGCCUAGGACGUUCUCUUUAAUCAAGAACGAAAGUUGGGGGAUCGAAGACGAUCAGAUACCGUCGUAGUCUCAACUAUAAACUAUGCCAGCUAGGGAUCGGUGGGUCUUUGUCACGAGUCCAUCGGCACCUUACGAGAAAUCAAAGCAUUUGGGUUCCGGGGGGAGUAUGGUCGCAAGGCUGAAACUUAAAGGAAUUGACGGAAGGGCACCACCAGGAGUGGAGCCUGUGGCUUAAUUUGACUCAACACGGGAAAACUUACCAGGUCCGGACAUAGUAAGGAUUGACAGAUUGAAAGCUCUUUCUUGAUUCUAUGGGUGGUGGUGCAUGGCCGUUCUUAGUUGGUGGAGUGAUUUGUCUGGUUAAUUCCGUUAACGAACGAGACCCGCGCCUGCUAAAUAGUCGGCCUCACUUCUGUGGGUGUUGUACUUCUUAGAGGGACCAUCCUGGGUAUACCGGAAGGAAGUUGCGGGCAAUAACAGGUCUGUGAUGCCCUUAGAUGUUCUGGGCUGCACACGGGCUACACUGCAAGAUACAACAAGCGUCGAUCACGCCUGACUGGAAGGUCCGGCCAAUCUUUGAAUAUCUUGCGUGAUUGGGAUAGACCAUUGCAAUUAUUGGUCUUCAACGAGGAAUUCCUAGUAAACGCGUGUCAACAACACGCAUUGAUUACGUCCCUGCUCCUUGUACACACCGCCC